GACGAACGCUGGCGGCGUGCUUAACACAUGCAAGUCGAACGGAAAGGCCCUGCUUUUGUGGGGUGCUCGAGUGGCGAACGGGUGAGUAACACGUGAGUAACCUGCCCUUGACUUUGGGAUAACUUCAGGAAACUGGGGCUAAUACCGGAUAGGAGCUCCUGCUGCAUGGUGGGGGUUGGAAAGUUUCGGCGGUUGGGGAUGGACUCGCGGCUUAUCAGCUUGUUGGUGGGGUAGUGGCUGACCAAGGCUUUGACGGGUAGCCGGCCUGAGAGGGUGACCGGCCACAUUGGGACUGAGAUACGGCCCAGACUGCUACGGGAGGCAGCAGUGGGGAAUAUUGCACAAUGGGCGGAAGCCUGAUGCAGCAACGCCGCGUGCGGGAUGACGGCCUUCGGGUUGUAAACCGCUUUCGCCUGUGACGAAGCGUGAGUGACGGUAAUGGGUAAAGAAGCACCGGCUAACUACGUG
rnacentral:rRNA from 1 species